AUUAGAGAGCUUCGUAGAAUUGUUAAAAGAAUAAAAAGGGAGAGUUAAAAAUGAUCUUGGGGCCAACUGAUAAGUAAAAGAGUGAAAUUUGAGAUGAUUUUAAGAAGAAUUUUGGGGAAGUCAAACAUCAGAAAUGAUCUAAAAGUGGAAAAAGAGAGUUUUUACAGAAGAAAGUGGAAGAGUCGGAU